AUUCCAGCUCCAAUAGCGUAUAUUAAUGUUGUUGCAGUUAAAAAGCUCGUAGUUGGAUUUCUGGUGGGAGUGGCCGGUCCGCCGUAAGGUGUGUACUUGGUUGUCUCCCGUCAUCCUUGUGGGAACUGCUCUGGCAUUAAGUUGUCGGGGUUAGGGAACACAUCGUUUACUGUGAAAAAAUUAGAGUGUUUAAAGCAGGCUUAUGCCGUUGAAUACAUUAGCAUGGAAUAAUAAGAUAGGACUUUGGCGUCUAUUUUGUUGGUUUGCACACCAAGGUAAUGAUUAAUAGGGAUAGUUGGGGGUAUUCGUAUUUAAUUGUCAGAGGUGAAAUUCUUGGAUUUAUGAAAGACGAACCCCUACGCCCACACCCCCCCCCCCCCCCCCCCUCA
rnacentral:rRNA from 1 species